GAUGAAGAACGUAGCGAAAUGCGAUACGUAAUGUGAAUUGCAAAUUCAGUGAAUCAUCGAGUCUUUGAACGCACAUUGCGCCCCCUGGUAUUCCGGGGGGCAUGCCUGUCCGAGCGUCAUUGCUGCCCUCAAGCACGGCUUGUGUGUUGGGCCCCGUCCUCCGAUCCCGGGGGACGGGCCCGAAAGGCAGCGGCGGCACCGCGUCCGGUCCUCGAGCGUAUGGGGCUUUGUCACCCGCUCUGUAGGCCCGGCCGGCGCUUGCCGAUCAACCCAAAUUUUUUAUCCAGGUUGACCUCGGAUCAGGUAGGGAUUCCCGCUGAACUUAAGCAUAUCAAUAAGCGGAGGA
rnacentral:misc_RNA from 1 species